rnacentral:rRNA from 1 species
UACAGAGGGUGCGAGCGUUGUCCGGAAUCACUGGGCGUAAAGAGCGUGUAGGCGGUCCUGUAAGUCCGCUGUGAAAGUCAAGGGCUCAACCCUUGAAUGCCGGUGGAUACUGCAGGACUAGAGUCCGGAAGAGGCGAGUGGAAUUCCUGGUGUAGCGGUGAAAUGCGCAGAUAUCAGGAGGAACACCGAUGGCGGAGGCAGCUCGCUGGGACGGUACUGACGCUGAGACGCGAAAGCGUGGGGAGCAAACAGG